CAGCAUAAUGGAUAGCAAUAUCUAUGGUGGCGACCGGCGCACGGGUGCGUAACGCGUAUGCAACCUACCUUUAACAGGGGGAUAACACUGAGAAAUUGGUACUAAUACCCCAUAACAUCAGGACCGGCAUCGGUUCUGGUUGAAAACUCCGGUGGUUAUGGAUGGGCAUGCGUUGUAUUAGCUGGUUGGUGAGGUAACGGCUCACCAAGGCAACGAUACAUAGGGGGACUGAGAGGUUAACCCCCACACUGGUACUGAGACACGGACCAGACUCC
rnacentral:rRNA from 1 species